CCGGCCCGGCGCGGGGUUAGAGCCGGAACCCGCUGAGGGCUGGGGGCGCGGGUGCUUCCCGCCCGCACCGCCCUGGCCCCUCCGCGGGGAGCCCACAGGGCUGCGUUGAGGCUGAGAGGCAGUGGAUGCCGAGACAAACAGUGGGUGCUCAAUAAAUGCAGCGCAGCCCCCCCCCCCAAGGGUGAGUCAUCCCCGUCCUGGCCCUGGGCCGGGGAGCAGGGCCCUCGGGUGUCAUCUGGCUCCACCCGCCGUGCGAUGUGACCUGGGCAGGGCUCCGCCCCUCUCCCGGCCUCAGUUUCCCGCCGCCUAAGUUCGGGGGAGGGCUGGGCCAGGCCAGCUGCGGGGCGCGGGCGGCCCCCGCGCGGCUCCCCCCCCAGGCGCUGCCCGCGGUCUCCGCCGGGCCCGGCCACGUCCGCUGCCCACGGGGCCGCCAUAAAAGGCAAGCGGCCGCAGGUCGCGCAGCCAAACUUAGUCAUCCGGCCCGCGGGCCGCCGGGCUGCGCGCGGCAGCUUCCUCCCCGAACUUCCCGUUUUCCGAGGGGCCCGGGGAGGGGGCCCGAGGUGCGGCCUGGGCCUUUCGAAACGCUUCGGCUCAGCGGCUGGGGGCUUGGCCAGGGGGCGUCCCCGGCUGGCGCUUUCAUCCCGGAGCUGCGGGUCGGCGCCAGCGAGGGCGGCCCGGGCUGCCGCCCAGAUAAAUCUCAGCCAGGGGCCAUCUGUGCAGUGUGAGAGCCUCCGGGCGAAACCACCCUGCCGGCGUCCCUGGAGCAGGGAUCGGUCACGGGUAUGGGACGGAAUGCAGUGCAAAGGAAGGACCAGCUCGCCCGCGCUACAGUGGCUGGCGGUGCAUGAACCCCAGGGGCACCCCUCGAGCUGUCUGCUUCCGGCUCCAUGUACAGGCAAAGCUAACUCGAGAAAACAAAGCUGAAGGAAACACGGAAAGAUGAUGACCAGGUCUGGGAGUACGUUGUUGUCCUCUCUGUCCUUUUCCGUGUAUUUGAAAUACUGCACAAACUUUUCACAAUGAAAGGGGGAAAAAAGCACAAUGGCGUGGAAUCGGACAUCGUGGUCAGCCUCUCUGACCCUCAGUUACUUCUUCGGUACAAUGGGGCAAUCAAUAAUCCCUUUGGGGAAAGUUUAUUGAGAAUUAUAUGCAGUGAUGUAUGCAAAGUGCUGAGUAUGAGCCCGAGGCUCUGCCUCACCCCAGGCCUUGCUGGACAAGAGGAGGCCGUGGGAAAGCAUCAAGCAAGAGGAGCGUCCUUAGCAGCCCCAGGACCCAGCCAUCACCCACCCACCAAGAGGUCUGGCUGCAGUCUCCCAGAGACCCUACUGGGGGAGACAUUUCUCUCCUCCUUUUUUAGAGGAGACAUCUGAGGCCUAGAGGGCACACAGGCACCCCCUCUCUCAUGCACACGAUUGCACUGAGGGGCUGGGCACUCUGAGUCUGAACAUCUGGGUGAAUGCACUUGGAGCUCAGAGUCCGGGCGCUACAGCUUCUGGGGCUGGUUGAAGAAUCUAACCUUCCCUGCUGAAGACCCCGUAACCCCCUCGUCUCUUGCAGACUCCCCCACCACCACCUUGGAAUGAAGAUCAGAUUUUAGCCUGCCCCAGGCGCUCUGAAGUCAAGGUUGACCCUGGAGAAAAUAGCUUAUACUCCAAAUGAAAGACAAAUGUUGCUAAUUUCCUUUUUUUUUUUUUUUUUUAAGAUUUUAUUUAUUUGUCAGAGAGAGAGAGAACAAGCAGGGGGAGCAGCAGAGGGAGAAGCAGGCUCCCCGCUGAGCAAGGAGCGGGACGUGAGGCUUGAUCCCAGCACCCUGGGAUCAUGACCUGAGCCUGAGGCGGAUCUUAACCGACUGAGGGGCCCAGCAGGUGUCCCCAGAUGUUGCUAAUUUCCAUCAAUAGGAAGGUAGGGGCUCUGGGUGGAGAAGGGCUCUGGGGUGUGAGGCCCAACAGGGUGGACUACGACACAGCAUGGGGUGGGGCUGGGUUUAUGGGUAUGAACGGUGGCCAGAGAGUCAGAGUGUAAGGGGUCAGCUGGUGCGGCUGGAAGGGCCUCCAACAGUUUGCCAGGCUUGUAGACUGAAGUUUCAACCAACCCAUCCGUGGCCUAUACUCAGUGAGGCAGAUAGGCCAGAACUUUCCCGGGAUAAGUGGUAGGAAGAGGCCCACGGGAGUGACUUAUAGGUAACCUGCACACCUUUGGAGGGGCAGUGUCCUCAUCCCUGUGCAGGUAACCCCUGUGGGCGGGCAGCAGGGGGUGGUAUUCCACUGGCAUGGCCUCCUGAUCUCAGGGGGCUGAUGGAACCCCGAAUGGCAGAGGCUGAGUGGAGACUCUUAAGCAUCAGAGGCCAGGUGGGACACAGAGAUGACACAGAGAUGGAGCUAUUCCUGCAAAGUACCAACCUGCAGGAGUUUUUGAUGGAGCCUGAUCACGGUGUUCUUAGGACUGAAGUAGCUGGGCUCCCCUACAGCAUCGCUUGGACGAUAUAAUGGGAAAACGCAAGAUCUGGUGGAUAGAGACCCGACCGGAGCCCCCACAGUUUAGAAUUUCUAGGCUUGGGAGAUGUUAUUUAGUGCAU